UACGUAGGGUCCAAGCGUUAAUCGGAAUUACUGGGCGUAAAGCGUGCGCAGGCGGUUCUGAAAGUCAGCUGUGAAAGCCCCGGGCUCAACCUGGGAAUGGCAUUGGAAACUGGCGAGCUGGAGUGUGGCAGAGGGGGGUGGAAUUCCGCGUGUAGCAGUGAAAUGCGUAGAGAUGCGGAGGAACACCGAUGGCGAAGGCGGCCCCCUGGGCCAACACUGACGCUCAGGCACGAAAGCGUGGGGAGCAAACAGG
rnacentral:rRNA from 1 species